rnacentral:rRNA from 1 species
UAGCCGUAAACGAUACUCGCUAGGUGUCGGCCACGGUGCGACCGUUGUCGGUGCCGUAGGGAAGCCGUGAAGCGAGCCACCUGGGAAGCACGGCCGCAAGGCUGAAACUUAAAGGAAUUGGCGGGGGAGCACCACAACGGGUGGAGCUUGCGGUUUAAUUGGAUUCAACGCCGGAAAUCUUACCGGGACCGACAGCAACAUGAAGGCCAGGCUGAAGACCUUGCCUGAUUUUCCGAGAGGAGGUGCAUGGCGUAGUCGUGU